rnacentral:rRNA from 1 species
CACGUAGGCACCAAGCGUUGUCCGGAUUUAUUGGGCGUAAAGAGCUCGUAGGCGGUUGAGUAAGUCGGGUGUGAAAACUCUGGGCUUAACCCAGAGCCGCCACUCGAUACUGCUCUGACUUGAGUUCGGUAGGGGAGCAGGGAAUUCCUAGUGUAGCGGUGAAAUGCGCAGAUAUUAGGAGGAACACCGGUGGCGAAGGCGCUGCUCUGGGCCGAAACUGACGCUGAGGAGCGAAAGCGUGGGUAGCGAACAGG